ensembl:lncRNA
UGACAAUCCCAUUCUUCACAGGAGACCUUGUAUAUUAAAAACAUAGAACUGGGAUCUGGACUUUCGCAUCCCUCCCGAAAUCCUCCAGUUGCAAUUAUCCUCAGCAAAGCCUGAUGUAUAGCUCCAUAUCCCUCCCCUCUCCUUAGCUUUUAUUGUUCCUUCAGGGCAGGUAUGCAGUCCCUCAUGAUCUCCUCUUAUUUAAUUGGUCGUUUACAAGAUGGCCUCUAGGUUUCUAACAGCUCAUAAAGCUAGCAGGCAGGACCUCCUGCGCUCUGUGGCAAAAGUACAGGAAAGUAGAAAAUUACAGAGCUGCAAAAAGGUGUAGAUGUGAAAAAUGAGAUCAUAAUUUAGAACUUUUGUGCCAGACAUUGGGUCUUGUUGUCAUUUGCUCAACUGGUCUCUGCAAGCUGUCUCCACACUGCCAACCAAAGCAACGAGAGUAGAGGCUUCUGGAGUGAAUGGCUUUGUUAAGCAUUCAGCAUUCAGACACAGUCAUUUGCACAUAAUUGUUACUGUCCAUUAGCUAAUGUAGCCAAAUACAUUAGGAUCUGGGAAGCACUGAAUAGCAGCAUGUGCACAAGAGCUGAGUAAUUAUUACCACACCAGCACAUGUCAGUUGUGAUUAUACUGGCUUCCUGUUAAAUCCAGAAUUCAAAAUCCUGCUCCUCACAUGCAAGGUCUUAAAUAAUCAGGCCCCAUCUUAUCUUAAUGACCUUGUAGUACCAUAUCACCCUAUUAGAGCACUUCGCUCUCGCUCUGCAGGCCUACUUGUUGUUCCUAGAGUAUUUAAAAGCAGAAUGGGAGGCAGAGCCUUCAGUUUUCAGGCCCCUCUUCUGUGGAACCAGCUUCCAGUUUGGAUUCAGGAGACAGACACUAUCUCUACUUUUAAGAUUAGGCUUCAAACUUUCCUUUUUGCUAAAGCAUAUAGUUAGGGCUGGACCAGGUGACCCUGAAUCCUCCCUUAGUUAUGCUGCAAUAGACGUAGGCUGCCGGGGGAUUCCCAUGAUGCACUGGGUUUUUCUACCUCACUCACUAUGUAUUAACAGACCUCUCUGCAUUGAAUCAUAUCUGUUAUUAACCUCUGUCUCUCUUCCACAGCAUGUCUUUUAUCCUGUCUUCCUUCUCUCACCCCAACCAAUCACAGCAGAUGGCCCCGCCCCUCCCUGAGCCUGGUUCUGCUGGAGGUUUCUUCCUGUUAAAAGGGAGUUUUUCCUUCCCACUGUCGCCAAAGUGCUUGCUCAUAGGGGGUCAUAUGAUCGUUGGGUUUUUCUCUGUAUGUAUUAUUGUGGGUUUACCUUACAAUAUAAAGCACCUUGAAGUAACUGUUGUUGUCAUCUGGUACUGUACAAAUAAAACGGAAUUGAAGUUCUUUCAUCCCAUCAGUUUUAAGGUAAAGGGUUUUUUUUGCUGCAGCUUCUUUCAAAUCAUGUUACUGCUAUCCCCUAACGGAGCAACUACAGGUGUUUUAAAGUGAAUGUGGCACGUAGCACUUAGGAUUUUUCCCCACUGGGAUGUUGUGACCAAGUUGUUAAACCAGCAUUUGCAGCUCUCAAUUCGGAGGAGAGCAAUAAAAAAAAAGAAAAAAAAAACUAAAAGCAAACAGGAUUUUUACUACACAAGAUUGCAAGCUGCAACUUUCUGCUGCAGUGAAAGCUGUGAAAAAAGCCAAGUACAAGCUCGGUUUCAAAAAGGCUGGGACACUCUAAAUGUGAAUAAAAAACGGUUCAUGGGUCAACACAUUGUAUUCACAAUAGAGCACAGAAAACAUCAAAUGUUUAAACUGAGAAAAACGUAAGGUUUUAAGAUUGUCCAACAUGAGAUUCUAGCUGCAGUCCUGGGUCUUCUGUGAAGUCAUGCUGUUGUAAUAGUUGCAGUAUGCAGUGUAGGACUGUCUUGUUGAAAUAUGCAAGGCCAUACCUGAGAAAGAUGUCUGAAGGAACAUAUGCUGCUCUAACACCUGUAUAUGCACCUGAGCAUUGAUGCUGUUGAUCCAGACAGGCUUUGUAGCUGAGCCCUGAAAACAAGCUGGAUGGUUUCUGGAUCAUUUUUACCUGUGGCUUCUUUGUAACGUACUUGCUUCUUCAUGGAAGUCACCAUGCCGUUAACCCACAUUUAUGUACAGCAUGAGGAGCUGCAUUCAGACAGACAUUGAUGUCUUUAAGUGUUCCUGAGCCCUUGCAGUGAUUUCCAUGACACAGUCAUGCCCGUUUUUGAUGGAUUAACGCUCAGAGAUCGCGGACAUUCAAUAUUAUUUUUUGUCCUGGUCCCUUGUGCACAGAGAUUCCUCCAGACUAUCAGGAUCUUUUGAUGAUAUGUACUCUAGAUGAUAUUCAAAGUCUUCACAAUUUUAUCUCAAGGAGAUUUAUUCUGUAAUUGUUCCACAAUUUGUUCACAGACUGUUGAACUGCUGCCCAUCUUUGCUUCUGAGAAACGUAUUCUAUAAGAUGCUCUUCUUCUGCGCGGGUAUAUUAGUGGCCUACUGCUAAAUAACCCAGUCAGAUGCCACACGUUCAUCCAGCUUUUUCUUUUAGGCACUCAGUUUCCAGCCUUUUGUUGCUCUUUGUCCAAAAUGUUUGAGAAAUGUUGAAACAUGAAAUCAAGUUGAAAAUGAGCUCAUUUUUCAUGAAAUAAUAAAUCAGAAUCAGAAUACUUUAAUAAUUCCUAAGGAAAUGAUGUGGGUUACAGUCACUCCAAGACAGUAACAGUAACAGACUGCUAUUCACACCUCUGAUUCCAUCUAUUCAUUUAAAUCUCAGUUAAAAACUUACCUGUUUGACCGAACAUUUUCAGUUAGUGCACAUCCCCUAUAUUUUACCCUUAUGUUAUUUAUCUUCUACUAAUGUUCCGCUGUAUAAAUACCCCCACCUUAUAUUUAUGAAUACCCAGUAAUUUUAUCUUCUAAACUAUGCUCUAAUGUUUUAUUUCUUAUUUUGUCUGUACUUUUUUGGGUUUUUUGUUGUCUGUUAUAGACUUUUAUCUUAUAUCUUAUGUUUUAAUCUUGUUGUGAAGCACUUUGGUGUACCUUCGGUUUUAAAUGUGCUAUAUAAAUAAAGUUGUAUUGUAUUGUAUUAUAUUGAAUAAUAUAACUAGUGACAUUAG